rnacentral:rRNA from 1 species
GGACCCGCACAAGCAGCGGAGCAUGUGGUUUAAUUCGAAGCAACGCGAAGAACCUUACCAGAGCUUGACAUCCUUCUGAUCGGAACUUAAUCGUUCCUUCUCUUCGGAGCAGAAGUGACAGGUGGUGCAUGGUUGUCGUCAGCUCGUGUCGUGAGAUGUUGGGUUAAGUCCCGCAACGAGCGCAACCCUUGUCUUUAGUUGCCAUCAAGUUAAGUUGGGCACUCUAAAGAGACUGCCGGGGAUAACUCGGAGGAAGGUGGGGAUGACGUCAAAUCAUCAUGCCCCUUAUGUUCUGGGCUACACACGUGCUACAAUGGCCGGUACAGAAAGAAGCAAAGUCGUGAGGCGGAGCAAAUCAUGAAACCGGUCCCAGUUCGGAUUGUAGGCUGCAACUCGCCUACAUGAAGUCGGAGUUGCUAGUAAUCGCGAAUCAGAAUGUCG